rnacentral:rRNA from 1 species
GUGGGGAAUAUUGCACAAUGGGCGCAAGCCUGAUGCAGCGACGCCGCGUGAGGGAUGACGGCCUUCGGGUUGUAAACCUCUUUCAGCACCGACGAAGCGCAAGUGACGGUAGGUGCAGAAGAAGGACCGGCCAACUACGUGCCAGCAGCCGCGGUAAUACGUAGGGUCCGAGCGUUGUCCGGAAUUACUGGGCGUAAAGAGCUCGUAGGUGGUUUGUCGCGUUGUCCGUGAAAUCCCACGGCUUAACUGUGGGCGUGCGGGCGAUACGGGCAGACUGGAGUACUGCAGGGGAGACUGGAAUUCCUGGUGUAGCGGUGGAAUGCGCAGAUAUCAGGAGGAACACCGGUGGCGAAGGCGGGUCUCUGGGCAGUAACUGACGCUGAGGAGCGAAAGCGUGGGGAGCGAACAGGAUUAGAUACCCCGGUAGUCC